UACGUAGGGGGCAAGCGUUGUCCGGAUUUAUUGGGCGUAAAGAGCGUGUAGGCGGCCAGAUAGGUCCGUUGUGAAAACUGGAGGCUUAACCUCCAGCUGUCGAUGGAAACCAUCUGGCUAGAGUCCGGAAGAGGAGAGUGGAAUUCCUGGUGUAGCGGUGAAAUGCGCAGAUAUCAGGAAGAACACCCGUGGCGAAGGCGGCUCUCUGGGACGGUACUGACGCUGAGACGCGAAAGCGUGGGAGCAAACAGG
rnacentral:rRNA from 1 species